rnacentral:lncRNA from 1 species
AGGCUGUUGUGGUCAGGGCGGGGUCUUCCAGAAAAGAAGCCCAGAAUGUACUGGAAGAAUACAGGAGAUCACUCAGUCAUGGACUUUGGUGAAAACAGAGUGUGAUGCCUGUGCUUUGCCAUUUUGUGUGACUUCUGAGUGAGAAUACCAACUGGUUGACAGUGAUUGCUACAUCACAGGAUCCGGGUAUGAAGCUACAUCUGUCCCCCCAGGAAGGGUACACCAAUCAGUAGGCAGUGGCCCCUACUGGUACAAGCAGGAGACAAGGGACAUGUGUCAGCUCAUAACCAGAUUUUGCUUCAUACUGUAUAGGACCAAAGCAGUGGACCAUGACGAUGAGCAGACCAGUGCUCUCAUUAAGCAUGACCUUUGCUCUGAUAGAGCCCCUUGGAAUGCAGAAAGAUAACAAGAAGGGAAUAGCUGAGUCAAAUGGAACCUCUACUUAAGUUUUUGAGGAAUCUCCACACUGAUUUCCACAGUAGUCCACACUUUCAACAACGGUGAAGAAUGAUUCCUUUUAACCUAUAGCCCAGCCAGCAUUUGUUAUUCGUUGAUUUCUUGAUAAUAGCCAUUCUUUCUGGAGGGAGAUGGAGUCUCAGUAUUGAACAUUUAUAUUUAAUUGCCAUUUGUACUUCUUAAUCU